rnacentral:rRNA from 1 species
AACGAACGCUGGCGGCAGGCUUAACACAUGCAAGUCGAGCGAGACCUUCGGGUCUAGCAGCGGACGGGUGAGUAACGCGUGGGAACGUGCCCUUCUCUACGGAAUAGCCCCGGGAAACUGGGAGUAAUACCGUAUACGCCCUUUGGGGGAAAGAUUUAUCGGAGAAGGAUCGGCCCGCGUUGGAUUAGGUAGUUGGUGGGGUAAUGGCCCACCAAGCCGACGAUCCAUAGCUGGUUUGAGAGGAUGAUCAGCCACACUGGGACUGAGACACGGCCCAGACUCCUACGGGAGGCAGCAGUGGGGAAUCUUAGACAAUGGGGGCAACCCUGAUCUAGCCAUGCCGCGUGAGUGAUGAAGGCCUUAGGGUUGUAAAGCUCUUUCAGCUGGGAAGAUAAUGACGGUACCAGCAGAAGAAGCCCCGGCUAACUCCGUG